rnacentral:rRNA from 1 species
GUUGUAUAGUCAAGUAAUUAAGUGCAUGUGGUGGAUGCCUUGGCAGUCAGAGGCGAUGAAAGACGUGAUAGCCUGCGAAAAGCUCCGGGGAGGCGGCAAAUAUCCUUUGAUCCGGAGAUGUCUGAAUGGGGGAACCCACCUACUUUAAGGUAGGUAUUGCAACAUGAAUACAUAGUGUUGCAAGGCGAACGAGGGGAAGUGAAACAUCUCAGUACCCUUAGGAAAAGAAAUCAAUUGAGAUUCCCUCAGUAGCGGCGAGCGAACGGGGAUCAGCCCAUUAAGUUAUGUG